AUGCACGCUGGCGGCGUGCCUAAUACAUGCCAGUCGAGCGAACAGACGAGGAGCUUGCUCCUCUGACGUUAGCGGCGGACGGGUGAGUAACGCGUGGAUAACCUACCUAUAAGACUGGGAUAACUUCGGGAAACCGGAGCUAAUACCGGAUAAUAUAUUGAACCGCAUGGUUCAAUAGUGAAAGACGGUUUUGCUGUCACUUAUAGAUGGAUCCGCGCCGCAUUAGCUAGUUGGUAAGGUAACGGCUUACCAAGGCAACGAUGCGUAGCCGACCUGAGAGGGUGAUCGGCCACACUGGAACUGAGACACGGUCCAGACUCCUACGGGAGGCAGCAGUAGGGAAUCUUCCGCAAUGGGCGAAAGCCUGACGGAGCAACGCCGCGUGAGUGAUGAAGGUCUUCGGAUCGUAAAACUCUGUUAUUAGGGAAGAACAAAUGUGUAAGUAACUAUGCACGUCUUGACGGUACCUAAUCAGAAAGCCACGGCUAACUACGUG
rnacentral:rRNA from 1 species